AUUGAACGCUGGCGGCAGGCUUAACAUAUGCAAGUCGAGCGGAGAGAGGUAGCUUGCUACCGAUCUUAGCGGCGGACGGGUGAGUAAUGCUUAGGAAUCUGCCUAUUAGUGGGGGACAACAUUUCGAAAGGAAUGCUAAUACCGCAUACGUCCUACGGGAGAAAGCAGGGGAUCUUCGGACCUUGCGCUAAUAGAUGAGCCUAAGUCGGAUUAGCUAGUUGGUGGGGUAAAGGCCUACCAAGGCGACGAUCUGUAGCGGGUCUGAGAGGAUGAUCCGCCACACUGGGACUGAGACACGGCCCAGACUCCUACGGGAGGCAGCAGUGGGGAAUAUUGGACAAUGGGCGCAAGCCUGAUCCAGCCAUGCCGCGUGUGUGAAGAAGGCCUUAUGGUUGUAAAGCACUUUAAGCGAGGAGGAGGCUACUCUAGUUAAUACCUAGAGAUAGUGGACGUUACUCGCAGAAUAAGCACCGGCUAACUCUGUGCCAGCCGCCGCCGUAAAAC
rnacentral:rRNA from 1 species